UACGUAGGGGGCUAGCGUUGUCCGGAUUUAUUGGGCGUAAAGAGCGUGUAGGCGGCCAGGUAGGUCCGUUGUGAAAACUCGAGGCUCAACCUCGAGACGCCGAUGGAAACCAUCUGGCUAGAGUCCGGAAGAGGAGAGUGGAAUUCCCGGUGUAGCGGUGAAAUGCGCAGAUAUCGGGAAGAACACCCGUGGCGAAGGCGGUUCUCUGGGACGGUACUGACGCUGAGACGCGAAAGCGUGGGGAGCGAACAGG
rnacentral:rRNA from 1 species